CAGGUGAGCCGAGAGCUAGCUUCAUAUGGCUAGUUUGCUAUCAUAGCAAAAACAACAGGUGUCAACAAACACAAGAAAAAGCCACAAAUGCCAACUAACACCGAUCUUUGGAUUCCAGAGAAGCUGCUUGAUCUGUUGGACACAGACAGGUCGUGGAGUAUUCUGUUCUGAUUUAAGGAUGCAUCUACCACUCACAGAGCCACGGAAAAAUGUCUAUACAAGAG